rnacentral:misc_RNA from 1 species
UUAUCGAAAUGCAGCGGGGGCAGACGGCCGCAAGGUCGCCGGCCACCGCAUACAUGCAUUCAACCACCCUUGACUUUGAGCACCGUUUUGUUUCCUCGGCAGGGACGCCUGCCAGCGGGGACCCCAUCGAACACUUGCAGUAGCAGUAUUUGUCUGAGAAAAACACAAAAAAUCAAAACUUUCAACAAUGGAUCUCUUGGUUCUGGCAUCGAUGAAGAACGCAGCGAAAUGCGAUAAGUAGUGUGAAUUGCAGAAUUCAGUGAAUCAUCGAAUCUUUGAACGCACAUUGCGCCCCUCGGUAUUCCGUGGGGCAUGCCUGUUCGAGCGUCAUUUAACCCUUCAAGCUCAGCUUGGUGUUGGGUGUUUGUCCCGCCUCCGCGCGGCGACUCACCUCAAAGUCAUUGGCAGCCCGCACCCGCCGGCCACGAGCGCAGCACAGUCGCGCUCCAGGCCACGCAGGGGCGGCUCUCCACAAGCACACCCCCCAAUAUUGACCUCGGAUCAGGUAGGGAUACCCGCUGAACUUAAGCAUAUCAAUAAGCGGAGGAAAAGAAACCAACAGGGAUUGCCCCAGUAACGGCGAGUGAAGCGGCAACAGCUCAAAUUUGAAAUCUGGCUCCUUCGGGGUCCGAGUUGUAAUUUGCAGAGGGUGUUUUGGCGUCGGCCGUGGUCUAAGUUCCUUGGAACAGGACGUCACAGAGGGUGAGAAUCCCGUACGUGGCCGCCGGUCUUCGCCGUGUAAAACCCCUUCGACGAGUCGAGUUGUUUGGGAAUGCAGCUCUAAAUGGGAGAUAAAUUUCUUCUAAAGCUAAAUAUUGGCCAGAGACCGAUAGCGCACAAGUAGAGUGAUCGAAAGAUGAAAAGCACUUUGGAAAGAGAGUCAAAAAGCACGUGAAAUUGUUGAAAGGGAAGCGCUUGCAGCCAGACGUGCCCGCAGUUGCUCACCCGGGCUCUUGCCCGGGGCAUUCUUCUGUGGGCAGGCCAGCAUCAGUUCGGGCGGUUGGAUAAAGGCCUCUGUCACGUACCACCCCCUCGGGGGCGGCCUUAUAGGGGAGGCGCAACACGACCAGCCCGAACUGAGGACCGCGCAUUAU